rnacentral:lncRNA from 1 species
GGCUAUUUUUCCAUUUUAAAGGAAACUAGAGAUCAGAGGUUAUAGAACUACUCCAAGGUCACAUAGCAGCAGGGGGCUAAAAUAGGAUUGAAUCCCAGGCUGUCAGAUUGGAAGCCUACCUCUAACCUUCAUGCUAUACCAUAUCUCACUUCCAAGAUAUUUACAUUUGAAGAGAUUCAAUACAGUGAACUAUUUAGCUGAAAAUACCAUAAAAAUGAGCCUUUUGGGCAUAAGGAACAGACUUCCAUUAACUUCAGUGCUCAGCCUGCAUUUAAAGAUUUCUCUCAGGUAGCCUUCUCCUUAGCCUUGGGCGAAAGCUGGCCCUGACCAUGUUACUGGGACAGGAUUGUACAAUCAUCCUCCCCAACCCGGGGCCAUGUUUCUGUGUUGGUUCUUCAAGCUGCUUCUUCACUUCCUCUUGCCCUCAGCCACACUACAGAUCUGCUACUGGCUUCUGACUUCACUGCCUGCCUUAGAAGUGGCAAGCCAAGCAAUCACUUGCUCAACCUUCCUGAGAGCCAGUGAUGGAAAAGAGAAGCAACUCUGGAGCAUGGAACACAAAAGUUUUGGGAGGGACUUCCCAUUGAGGUUCUUUCUUUCCCUGGAGACUCAAUGAUUUUAUGUCUAGUGGUUCAUAAGUUACAAGAUAUCUGGAAUUAGGUGAUCUGACACCCUGUGACUUCUGGCUUUCCCCAAAGACAAAAUGACCAUGGAAGGCAACUCCAGCCAUAUCCUGCGCUCAGAAGAGCCAUUUUCCUUGAUCCUAGACCACAUAUGACUAACCUCUUUAUUGUACCCCUGCUAUCCAAAACUGGAAGCUGAUAACAUCUUACAACUGUGAUGGGACCAACCACCUCAGAUGUUGUAAAAAAAUUAGUCCACCUUUAGUCCUUGCAGAAUACGAUAGAAGAGAUGUAAAGUGAGAUGAGAAAGAAAGAAGAGGCUGUUUAUUCAUAGAGAAGCCCUGCCUGUCUAAUCCAGCUGUGCCCACCCUGUGUAAAGCAUUCUCUGAGACCCUAUCCCUUUUCUUAGUUAGCAUUCUUUCCAGUCAUUGCACUCACCUCCACUUGAUAUCAUUCUGCA